rnacentral:sRNA from 1 species
UUCCGGCAAAUGAUCGCCUUCAGAUGGG